AGCAAACAAGUUCUUCAAUAGCCAAGUUUUUGGCCAAUGUAAGACCUCUAUAAACAACAUAAAGUUUCGCAAGCAUCAUGUCAGACGACUCACGAAUGAAGUCAGAAAAGUAUGGUAAGUAAAAAUAUAAAUUGUAUCUGAUAAGACCCUCAUAACUAGCUCUAAUCGGGGAACCUAAACAACUACCGUCAACGUUGAGGACCACACAAGAGAACUUUUCAUUGUUCCAUUUGAUGAACCUGUACCAACGUGAUUAGAGGAG
rnacentral:lncRNA from 1 species